rnacentral:rRNA from 1 species
GACGAACGCUGGCGGCGCGCUUAACACAUGCAAGUCGAGCGAUGAAAUCUUAACAGAACCCUUCGGGGUGAAGAUAAGACGGAUUAGCGGCGGACGGGUGAGUAACACGUGAGUAACCUGCCUUUUAAACAGGGAUAGCCUCAGGAAACCGGGAUUAAAACCUGAUGAAACUAUCAAAUCACAUGAUUAAGAAAGUUAAAACUCCGGUGGUAAAAGAUGGACUCGCGUCCCAUUAGCUAGUUGGUGAAGGUAACGGCCCACCAAGGCAACGAUGGGUAGCCGGCCUGAGAGGGUGAACGGCCACAUUGGAACUGAGAAACGGUCCAAACUCCUACGGGAGGCAGCAGUGGGGAAUAUUGCACAAUGGGGGAAACCCUGAUGCAGCGACGCCGCGUGAGCGAAGAAGGCCUUCGGGUCGUAAAGCUCUUUUAUAUGGGAAGAUAAUGACGGUACCAUAAGAAAAAGCCCCGGCUAACUACGUG